GUGCUGUGGGGUGAUACAGAGCAUCCACCUGUGUGACUGGCACAAUGUGAAAGAGGGGAAAAGGGUGGAGGAGGAAGAGACAGGAGAGCUGAUAUGAAACUCUUGUUAUUUAUGAGUCAUGCUGGCCUCAGACGGAGAUAUGGGAGGGGAAGACUGAAAAGAAUACAACCAACUUUCUUCAUUCUCCAUGUUUUCUCUCUUCUUCUCAUUUAAGGAUCACAAUCAAGAGUUUAAAGACAACCAGUCUCUGCUCCAGCCACACAGGACUUCUUUUAGUACCUUUACUACAUCAUGCCCUCCCCUGCCUCAGGCUUCUGCUGGGAUGGAUCCAGCACAUUCACCCUAAAAUUCUGAUUCAGAAGAUCUAAGCCUUCUGAAAAAAAAGCAUUGAGAGCAUAAACCACUCAGAAGAUUUACAGCUUAAAGCAGAUCACCUUAAGAUACUGGAAUCAGUCAGUGCUUAGAUGGAACAUUUUUUGAGGCCUACAUCUUCACUGAGUGCCCUUCUUCUCUAUUUCCUAUACUUCCUUGUUUCUUUCUGUCCCCACUGCAUCCCAUAUGGAUUUGUACAAAUAAUGCUGGGUUCUUUUCUUCACCCACAUGCAACAGUUGCUGCUAGAUCAUAACCAUUCCUUCUAUUGGUUUUAAAAUCUGUUUUUCUCAGAUUCCUUACACUUGAAGGAAAAAAAAAAGGACAUUUAGCCUGUUUUUCUUUUAAGCAAUAAAAAUUCUUCUCU